rnacentral:rRNA from 1 species
GAUGAACGCUGGCGGCAUGCCUAACACAUGCAAGUCGAUCGGUAAGGCUCUUCGGAGUACACGAGCGGCGGACGGCUGAGUAACGCGUAGGAACACACCCUGCAGUGAGGGAUAAGACACCGAAAGGUGUUCUAAUACCGCAUACGGUCUUCGGAUUAAAGCAUUUAUGCGCUGAAGGAGUGGCCUGCGUCAUAUUAGAUAGUUGGUGAGGUAAUGGCUCACCAAGUCGAUGAUGUGUAGCUGGUCUGAGAGGAUGAUCAGCCAGACUGGAACUGAGACACGGUCCAGACUCGUACGGGAGGCAGCAGUGAGGAAUAUUACACAAUGAGCGAAAGCGUGAUGGAGCAAUGCCGCGUGCAGGAUGAAGGCCCUCGGGUUGUAAACUGCUUUUAUAAGAGAAGAUUAUGACGGUAACAUAUGAAUAAGGGACGGCUAACUACGUG